GAUGAACGCUGGCGGCGUGCCUAAUACAUGCAAGUCGAGCGAACAGACGAGGAGCUUGCUCCUCUGACGUUAGCGGCGGACGGGUGAGUAACACGUGGAUAACCUACCUAUAAGACUGGGAUAACUUCGGGAAACCGGAGCUAAUACCGGAUAAUAUAUUGAACCGCAUGGUUCAAUAGUGAAAGAGGGUUUUGCUGUCACUUAUAGAUGGAUCCGCGCCGCAUUAGCUAGUUGGUAAGGUAACGGCUUACCAAGGCGACGAUGCGUAGCCGACCUGAGAGGGUGAUCGGCCACACUGGAACUGAGACACGGUCCAGACUCCUACGGGAGGCAGCAGUAGGGAAUCUUCCGCAAUGGGCGAAAGCCUGACGGAGCAACGCCGCGUGAGUGAUGAAGGUCUUCGGAUCGUAAAACUCUGUUAUUAGGGAAGAACAAAUGUGUAAGUAACUAUGCACGUCUUGACGGUACCUAAUCAGAAAGCCACGGCUAACUACGUG
rnacentral:rRNA from 1 species